CCCAAAAGAUUACUUUAAAGAUAAGAUCAUACCAAAGAUUUCGGAAUCUCAACUGAAGGAACUGAAUGCCCCCAAUUUCUCUACUUGAAAUACACACAAGGAUAGAGACACUGCGACCUAAUAAAGGGCCAGGCCCAGGCGGGUUUCCCGGGAUUUUUUAUAGAUUAUUUAGGGAUGAAAUAUCACCACACUUAUAGACUACUUUUAAUGAAUUUAUAUUAAAAACUAAAAUCCCGCAGGAAAUUCUUAAGGGUAAUAUUGUCCCAAUAUUAAAAUCAGGUAAGAACCCAGAAAAAGUAGACAGUUACCGGCCGAUCUCUCUGUUAAAUGAAG